CUACAUGUAAAAGUUCAAAUCAACCACAAAUCUCAACUCACCUUUCCUAAUUGACUCCACAAAAUCAAAACUCCGCUACCCCCAUCCCAAUCCUCACCGCCUCUUCCAUCUUUGUCAUCCCAAUCCUCACCGCCGCUUCCCCCUUCCAUCUUCGUCGUCCCAAACCGCACCGUCGGCUUAGCCAUCCCAAUCCUCACCACCGCUGCCCCCUUCAAUCUUCGUCGUCCCAAACCGCGUUGUCGGCGAUGAACUCAAGCGAACCCAAAGCGAACCUCAUGUACUUUAUUAUUUGAAGAACGGACGCCUUUGCCGAUCCUCAGGUACUUUGAGAACUCGGGUACUUUAUCAAUCGAAGAACGGACGCCUUCGCCGAUCCUCGGUGAACUACUAUGUUGAUGAGCAUGCCGAGUCUUUCUACAAAAGUGUAUUAAGCUUGUGCAGGGUGCAAAACUUACAGACUUGGCUUGGAGUUUUGACUGUGAGAUAGUUGAUAAUGAACUGCUUGGAAAUUUGACAUUGAGGUGAAUUGAUCAUGAAAUGCUUGCAACUGUUGGUACUUGAUGAUGCUUUGUAGGCUAAUCAUCCAAAGGCUGUUGUUUGGGUUCACUGAGCUCAAUUUCUGUGCAAGCCUCAUGUCUCUGUUUGGUCCAUGUAAAUGUACAUCCCAGUUUUUGUAACAAGUAUCAAAAUUGAAGAAUAAGCCCCUUAUCAAGUUGAGACUGUAAAAGAAUGAAGUUUUGUGAUGCUAAAA